rnacentral:rRNA from 1 species
AGAGGUGACGCCUGCCCAGUGAAAACUUUUUAACGGCCGCGGUAUCCUAACCGUGCAAAGGUAGCAUAAUAACUUGUCUCCUAAAUAGAGACUAGCAUGAACGGCUAACUGAGGGCCCAACUGUCUCCUAUGACCAAUCAAUGAACCUGACCUCUCAGUCCAAAGGCUGAAAUACACCCAUAAGACGAGAAGACCCUGUGGAGCUUUAAAAACACUACUUCCAAAACUAAGCAGACUUUUUAAGUUGGGGCGACUACGGAAAAAAACAAAACUUCCACGAACAAGGCUAACCCCCAUACCACCAGGUCAACAAACCAACAAUUAAAUCCUUGACCCAGAUAAAACUGAUCAACGAACCAAGUUACCCCAGGGAUAACAGCGCCAUCCUCUUCUAGAGCCCAUAUCGCCAAGAGGGUUUACGACCUCGAUGUUGGAUCAGGACCCCCAAGUGGUGCAGCCGCUACUAACGGUUCGUUUGUUCAACGAUUAAAGUCCUACGUGAUCUGAGUUC